CACGUAGGUGGCAUGGUAAGUCAAAGGUGAAAGCCCUCGGCUCAACCGAGGAACUGCCUUUGAAACUGCUUUGCUUGAGUCCGGGAGGGGGGAGCGGAAUUCCCAGUGUAGCGGUGAAAUGCGUAGAUACUGGGAGGAACACCGGUGGCGAAGGCAGCUCCCUGGACCGGUACUGACACUGAGGUGCGAAAGCGUGGGUAGCAAACA
rnacentral:rRNA from 1 species